UACAGAUUAGAGCUUGGUAGAAAGCUUUUUAUUUACACUAAGAUGAUACUGUGCAACUCAGUUUAAUUUGAU
rnacentral:tRNA from 1 species